CGGCGCGCCUCAUACAUGCAAGUCGAGCGAGAAAGCCCGCUUCGGUGGGUGAUUAAAGCGGCGAACGGGUGCGUAACACGUGGGCAACCUGCCUUUAGGUCUGGGAUAAGGCGCCGAAAGGGGGUCUAAUACCGGAUAACACCUUUCUAUCGCAUGGUAGAAAGUUCAAAGACCGCUUGCGGUCGCCUGAAGAUGGGCCCGCGGCCUAUUAGCUAGUUGGUGAGAUAACAGCCCACCAAGGCUGCGAUGGGUAGCCGUCCUGAGAGGGUGAACGGCCACACUGGGACUGAGAUACGGCCCAGAGUGCUACGGGAGGCAGCAGUAGGGAAUAUUGCGCAAUGCCCGAAAGGGCGACGCAGCGACGCCGCGUGGGUGAUGAAGCUUCUUGGAGCGUAAAGCCCUUUCAGAAGGGAAGAACCGCAUGGAGGUGAACCUCCGUGCCUGACGGUACCUUCAGAAGAAGCUCCGGCUAACUCCGUGCCAGCAGCCGCGGUAAUACGGAGGGAGCAAGCGUUGUUCGGAAUCACUGGGCGUAAAGGGCGCGUAGGCGGGCCGGUGAGUCAGGUGUGAAAACCCGGGGCUUAACCCCGGGCCUGCACUUGAUACUAUCGGUCUUGAGUACGAGAGAGGAAAGCGGAAUUCCAGGUGUAGCGGUGAAAUGCGUAGAUAUCUGGGAGAACACCGGUGGCGAAGGCGGCUUUCUGGCUCGAUACUGACGCUGAUGCGCGAAGGCUAGGGGAGCAAACAGGAUUAGAUACCCUGGUAGUCCUAGCGGUAAACGAUGGGCACUAGGUGUUGGAGGACUUACCCCUUCAGUGCCGCAGCUAACGCAUUAAGUGCCCCGCCUGGGGAGUACGAUCGCAAGAUUGAAACUCAAAGGAAUUGACGGGGCCCCGCACAAGCAGUGGAGUAUGUGGUUUAAUUCGAUGCAACGCGAAGAACCUUACCUGGGCUUGACAUCAACUGGAAAGCCAUAGAGAUAUGGCCCCCUCUUCGGAGGUCGGUUGACAGGUGCUGCAUGGCUGUCGUCAGCUCGUGCCGUGAGGUGUUGGGUUAAGUCCCGCAACGAGCGCAACCCCUGUCCAUAGUUACCAGCGGUUCGGCCGGGCACUCUAUGGAGACUGCCUCGGUUAACGAG
rnacentral:rRNA from 1 species